rnacentral:rRNA from 1 species
UACGGAGGAUCCGAGCGUUAUCCGGAUUUAUUGGGUUUAAAGGGUGCGCAGGCGGGAGAUUAAGUCGGCGGUGAAAUUUUGCAGCUCAACUGUAAAAGUGCCAUUGAUACUGGUUUUCUUGAGUGUGGAUGAAGUAGGCGGAAUUUGUGGUGUAGCGGUGAAAUGCAUAGAUAUCACGAGGAACUCCGAUUGCGCAGGCAGCUUACUAAACCAUAACUGACGCUCAGGCACGAAGGCGUGGGGAUCAAACAGGAUUAGAUACCCCGGUA